AUGAACUGUGGAUUCCCAAGACCUGCUUGCCAAUCGGACGGCCAUUACCACCACCAUUGUUCAACUUGUCGGGAGAUGAAGGUCUCCCUGUUGAGCUACUACUCCAGGAGAUCAUUCCUGAACAAAACAUACGAGGAAGUGUGUGGGUGGAGAAGCGCUAUUUCUCGGCACCACCGUGCGGGUGGAGACAGGACAACACAAGCAUAUCCUAUUGAAGCACGCUGGACACAUGGUCUGAAAUCUUUGCAGCAAACAACUUGCAGCAUUGAAGCACGCUGGACACAUGGUCUGAAAUCUUUGCAGCAAACAACUUGCAGCAUUGAAGCACGCUGGACACAUGGUCUGAAAUCUCUGCAGCAAACAUGA
rnacentral:rRNA from 1 species